AUUCAGCUACCAGUUAUAGCACAUGUGACCUUGCAUAAAUCACUUUCCAAAUGUCUGGUCCCUCAUUUGUAAAUUAGGAACCCACCCAAAGUAUUCCACAGAGUUUCUGGGACUAAAUGAUAUAAUAUAGAGGCAACCGCUUUGUAAAAUGCUAUAAGGAUGACAUUUGCUAUUAAAAUUUAAUUGAUAGUAUCAUCAUUCUGUAAUCCUUCCAGAGUAAUUCAGUGUGAACAGCAAUGGUGGUGGAGAGGAGCUGCACUUUCCUCACCUUUAAUUGUAAAGUAAUUCAGAAAAAGAAAGAAAUUCUACUAGUCAUUAUGGCAAUUGUAAAAGCAGAAAGAAGAACAUUCCAGAGAAGGAAAACGUUCUAACUCAGAGAAGGGAGCAUUUCAGCUCAUUCUUGAUGGAUAUGUGAAAGUAAGUCAAAUACACUUGAAUGUUUGGGGGAAAAAAAUAAAAUAAGAGGUUGGGAUGCUAUCUUCCUCUUGCCUCAGUCAAAAUAGGCCAAAUUCAAAGCUUAAAAGGGCAGCAGAAGAUUAGAAAAUGCCUAAGGAGGAGAACUCAGAGAAAGAGAACCCUGAAAGACAAACUUCACUCACAUUAUAAUCUCCUAGGAGGCCAUUCAGUAUAGCCAGAAAAGCACUCUUCAUUUUCAUAUUUCAGAGAGUUUUUUGUUUGUCAAGAUUUAAAAAAAAAAUUCUUUUCUACAUUUAAUUGCAGUAACAGUUUUUGGUGCUUAUCGAUGUUAAUGGUAAAUACAAGCAUAAAUAGA
rnacentral:lncRNA from 1 species